rnacentral:rRNA from 1 species
AUGCACGCUGGCGGCGUGCCUAAUACAUGCACGUCGAGCGAACGGACGAGAAGCUUGCUUCUCUGAUGUUAGCGGCGGACGGGUGAGUAACACGUGGAUAACCUACCUAUAAGACUGGGAUAACUUCGGGAAACCGUAGCUAAUACCGGAUAAUAUUUUGAACCGCAUGGUUCAAAAGUGAAAGACGGUCUUGCUGUCACUUAUAGAUGGAUCCGCGCUGCAUUAGCUAGUUGGUAAGGUAACGGCUUACCAAGGCAACGAUGCAUAGCCGACCUGAGAGGGUGAUCGGCCACACUGGAACUGAGACACGGUCCAGACUCCUACGGGAGGCAGCAGUAGGGAAUCUUCCGCAAUGGGCGAAAGCCUGACGGAGCAACGCCGCGUGAGUGAUGAAGGUCUUCGGAUCGUAAAACUCUGUUAUUAGGGAAGAACAUAUGUGUAAGUAACUGUGCACAUCUUGACGGUACCUAAUCAGAAAGCCACGGCUAACUACGUG